rnacentral:rRNA from 1 species
UAUAAGUGAUGGCGACCGGCGCACGGGUGAGUAACACGUAUCCAACCUGCCGAUAACUCGGGGAUAGCCUUUCGAAAGAAAGAUUAAUACCCGAUGGUAUAAUAAAGCCGCAUGGUUUAAUUAUUAAAGAAUUUCGGUUAUCGAUGGGGAUGCGUUCCAUUAGGCAGUUGGUGAGGUAACGGCCCACCAAACCUUCGAUGGAUAGGGGUUCUGAGAGGAAGGUCCCCCACAUUGGAACUGAGACACGGUCCAA